GCGUAUGGCACUAGGAGCACGGGGAGGCUGGCCAAGUGACGCUAGCUUCUGUAGAGAGAAAGAGAGAGAGAGAGAGAGCAUCUCACACACAUAGCUUGUCGCUCCCGCACGUCCCCGGUGGCUGGAAACACUAUUGACGUGGUGAGAGUGAGUGAGCGAGCAAGCGAGCUGCUGGCGCUGUUGUCGGGGGCUUGUGAGGAGGAGUCGGGAGGACCGUACCUUGGUGCUUGCUGCUGAUGCUGCUGCUGCAGGACAGAGAAGAUCGACUACUACAGGAGGAGGAGGACGACCUCUUUCUGCGUCUUCCCAGGCAAGUGGACAGGAAAGAAGUUUUUGGAAAAAUACUUGUGCUUUUACACGGAGUCUGGACCAUCGUUCAUGCAGUAGGAAUUAUUACAGAACCGGAAGCAGUAUUUGCCAGUUCCGGCGACUGUUGUUGUUGUGGUGGGCUGCUGUUUUUCAUGGACGUCGGCUUACCAGAGAUUCUUUAGAGGAUAUUGCCGACUACCGCUUCCACUAUUCUCGUUCAUGAGAGAUGUAUUAUUAUUAUUAUUAUCAUUGUACAAAUUAAUCGUUAUUUCUGUAAGUAAGUUAGCGUCUUUCAUAUUCUGAGCUCUUUUGUGUGAAGGGGUCAAGAAAAAAA